GUUUGUGACCAUCUCUUCUGUGGAGUCUAUAUUAGAGGAGUUUGCAUUUUGUCUUUGUUCAUAGGGGCUUUCAAGUCCAAUUGCAAAUAUGAGUUGUUCCUGUUGAUAUUGGUAAAUUCUGUGGGUCAUAGGCUUUAGGUUCUGUGUUCAAGAAGUGUACAGAUGGGGGGAGGCCACAGGAUGUUCUUCCCUAUGUUAAGUUGUUGAUAUCAUGUAGUCAACAGAAUUUGUGUUGC
rnacentral:misc_RNA from 1 species